rnacentral:rRNA from 1 species
UACGGAGGGGGCAAGCGUUAUUCGGAAUUAUUGGGCGUAAAGGGUGCGCAGGCGGCGCGGAAAGUAGGGUGUGAAAUCCCUCGGCUCAACCGAGGAAUUGCGCCCUAAACUACCGUGCUCGAGGGAGAUAGAGGUGAGCGGAACUUAGGGUGGAGCGGUGAAAUGCGUUGAUAUCCUAAGGAACACCGGUGGCGAAAGCGGCUCACUGGAUCUCUUCUGACGCUGAGGCACGAAAGCUAGGGUAGCGAACGGG